UACGGAGGAUCCAAGCGUUUAUCCGGAAUCAUUGGGUUUAAAGGGUCCGUAGGCGGCCUUAUAAGUCAGUGGUGAAAUCUCCCGGCUCAACCGGGAAAUGGCCAUUGAUACUGUAGGGCUUGAAUUAUUAGGAAGUAACUAGAAUAUGUAGUGUAGCGGUGAAAUGCUUAGAUAUUACAUGGAAUACCGAUUGCGAAGGCAGGUUACUACUAAUUGAUUGACGCUGAUGGACGAAAGCGUGGGUAGCGAACAGG
rnacentral:rRNA from 1 species